GGCUCAAUACUUCAAGCGGUUCAACUUCAACAUUAAAUUAUAUCCCCAGAGGGAAAAAUGUACUGGCGGAUGCCCUGUCCAGGAAACCCCAAUUUGACAGUCGCCGAGAGGAAAUAAUACAUGCUGUAAAUCCA